UGGCAGGGGUGCAGACACUCUUCCGUCUGCACAAACCCCAGCGUCAGCACCCCUCCUGACCAGACUGAGUGCUGCAGAGGGAGGGGAGGGCCAGCAGGGCAGCUGGGGCACCCUACCCCCAUCGCUCCUGUAAGUGCACCAGCCUUGGGAAACUCUGUGUCAGGGAUCCCCCAAACACUGGCACUAGGAGGCCCCCCAAAAGUCUGGCUUCAACCUCCCCCUGAUUACUACUGUCCCCUCCUUCCUCUUGUCUCCCUAAACCCCCCCCCCUCCCCCACUACUGCCACCACCUCUUUCUCAACCUAAUGUGAGACUGGGGGCCUGGGAAGGACUUCAAGUUCACGGCCAGACCUCCUAUUGAGCUGACAGCCUGACUGUUUGCUCAAUUCGGCUCCCUUUUCAGAGUCCACGCUCGAAGGGGGGGGGGGGCUUGAGAAAAGGCAGGAGGGGGGGGGGGGGGGGUUAGAUGGGACACCCCAGCACUGUGAUAGCUAUUCAUUCAGCCAGGGGAGACAAGUAAAAAGGGUAGCGAGAGUGAAGAGGAAUGGGGGUGGGUGGGGGGGGGGGGUAUAAAGAAAAAGCGAGGAAUCCAGGCACAAAGUUUGCUUUGAGGGGUGUGCGCCUCUCUCACACUCUUUUAGACUCUUAAUUACCGGCGCCUUCCACGUUUUCUUCCCUUUCUCUAACUACAUCCCCCUCCUCAUCCUCACGGCACAAACAGUCCCGAACACACAGAAAACAGUGAUGGCAAUCAUUCUCAUCAUCCUCUCCAUCCCAUGCUUUAUUAGGCCGCAUGCUGGGGCUGUAAAUUUACCAUUAACAAGCUUAUUCACUGUAGUCCCCUCCACAAAACAAGACCAUCAUGCCAAUAACUCAAACCGACACCAAUACACAAAACUGCCUUUUAUGCCACCAACCUUUUGCAGUCACAGACUCCCCCCACACAAAACCCCCCACUGUUUCCUCUACGGCUGCGCUCUCAGAAGCACCGUGUCGCUAAAUGCCAACUCGAAUGCGAUGCUUGCUAAUGGCUCAGAUAAAUGUUGGCAUUCCGGACGGGGGGGAGGAGGAGGACUCCAGAAUGGACAGAGCACACAAGCGGCGGACAGCAAGACUUCUUUGUUGCCUUUCAGCGGGGGAAAACAAGUAUGAAAGCGCUGCUGUCUGCACACAAGUCACCAGGGAUCCUUUCCUUGGCUGUGGGUGGCUGUGCAUUAUUUGACACGACCGUCAACCUGGACUGUUUGUGAACACCUCCUGGUGUUUUAACAGAGUAAACAUCUUUGUGGAUUGCAGGAACAUGCAGUCUUGUGCAGAUGAUGGGCAGCAUGAAGGGUUGGACACACUGCUCUAUAAUUGUGACUUUAUUUUCUAUUGGAGGUACAUCCCUGCAAGGUGUUGCUUUUGUCUUAUGUACCCGUAUGCAAUAAAUCAAGAAGCAGAAACUAAUACGUAGGCUCCGCUUACUGUAGGCUUUAUUGGAUUUAAGUUGUAGCCCAAGUUUGGUUCCGCUUUUGUUGUUGUUUUUGUUGUAGUUGCUAGGAUUCAAAAGACACGCGAAUGUGAGACUCACGACAGCAGCGAAUAAUACUGCACUGCGAUUGGACAGCUCCGUGUGUCAGAUGACACAAUGGCGAAGGAGUGAGCUGUCGUCUUUAUACUCUAUGCAACUGUUCUUUCUUAUUACCCCUUAUUCUCAAUCUUGCUUUGAGUUUGCAUUUUUAAUUGUAUUUUUGUUUGUUUUUGGGGCUAAUAGUUUUUUUUAGAUACUUCUCCCAAUUUUCUUUUUAUUAAAUCUUUUCUUGCUGGAGCCUACUUUGUCAAGGUGUGGAAAAUCCUAGUGUGUGUGUGUGUGUAACAGAUAUUCCAGUACAGCUUAGGUUUAUCAGUGCUGAACGUCACAUUUGCAGCUCGUUGAUUUAGCUAGACGGAGUAAACGUGGACUGGAAGGUUUAAUAUUGCUGGUGGUAGGAGUGUGUUGGAUCAGCAGGAAGUGCAAGGUGGCAGCAGGUAGACACAUACGCCAGGCUUCCCAGCAGGCUUUGAGAAGCAGCAAUUCCCUACAGUUACCUGCUUCACUGCAAUGAUACAUCUUUGGAUGAGACAUGACAAAUACAUUAGCUUCAAACACUGCCUUAAUAUCCUGUUCUUGACAUGAACACACACACUCACAGCCACACAUAUAUAUGCAUCAAAGCUUGUAUUAUCGCAGGCUAAUUUAUUCUGUAUUAAUUUUUGUGAAGUGCCGUUUUUUUAUUACAAUUGAUAAUCUAUGCAAAUCUUUCAAAUAUUACUUUAAACAAUCUAUGCAGUGUCUCUGCCACUGAUUCAAAGCAGACUAUUUUAGCUUAAUUUAAAAAAAAUGUAUUCUUUUGAUAAUCAUGCAGUGCUCGAGACAAUUACUUAUCUGCCUGGAUAAGCUUGAAAUUGUGUUUUUAAUCUCUGGCAAAAAGAGAGUCACUCAUUUGUAAUCAGUCCAGAGGCGUGAAAACCCUGAAUUAUGUUCUAAAACAAUUAAAUAUGUUGCAAGUACAAAGAAAUAUAUAUAUUUUUUUCAACUCUGUAUAUACAAACUCAAUAUGUGUAUAUUCAUCCUUGACUAUUUUGUAUAUGUGUAACAUUAUUUGUCCUAUGCAAUGUCACUGCCAGGAAUGUGCUCACCACAUGUGCCUUUUAUGCAAAAUUUUGUUGGAAUGUGAAUAAAAGUUUACAUUGAAAACAAUGCAAAUUUGAAAAAGUGUGUCUUUU
ensembl:lncRNA